GCCUGGGUGGCUCAGUCAGUUGAGCGUUUGACUUCAGCUCAGGUCAUGAUCUCACAGUCUGUGAGUUCAAGCCCGGCCUCGGGCU
rnacentral:tRNA from 1 species